rnacentral:rRNA from 1 species
AACGAACGCUGGCGGCAGGCUUAACACAUGCAAGUCGAGCGCCCCGCAAGGGGAGCGGCAGACGGGUGAGUAACGCGUGGGAAUCUACCGAGCCCUAAGGAAUAACUCCGGGAAACUGGAACUAAUACCUUAUACGCCCUACGGGGAAAGAUUUAUCGGGUUUGAUGAGCCCGCGUUGGAUUAGCUAGUUGGUGGGUAAAGGCCUACCAAGGCGACGAUCCAUAGCUGGUCUGAGAGGAUGAUCAGCCACAUUGGGACUGAGACACGGCCCAA